CAGGGCCUCCCUUGGCCACUAGGACAGGGGUAGGGGUGGCCAGUGUGUGGGGGUGGGUGGUUGGGGGCAUUCCCAGCUGCCCCUUCCGGUCAAGCUCUUGGCCGGCUGAGGAAGCUGCAGUCGAGGGGUUCCCGGAGCCAGUGCAGGGAGCACUUAGCCCUGGGACCCUGGCUUGCUGGGCCCUGGGAACCCUGGGGACUGCAGACCCAGGGCGGCCACCAGCUGCUGACAUCUCUGCCAAGUAAGCCUUGUCCUCUUUCCCUUCCAGCUCUACACGCCUGGGUUCAGGCUGAGGAGUCCCAGAGGCCUUCCUCCCCACCUGGCUCCUCGCUGGCCCUGUGGGGUCUGGAGCCACUGAGCCAGGAGCAGGUGUCCAGUCCAGACAGUGGUCUGUCACCAGCCGGGAUCCUGCUCCCAGACAGGCCUCGCCCUGUGCGUGCCCGGCUGGCUGCUGUGGUGUGCUCCCCUGCCAGGGCAGCCACCUGGUGCCCUCAACAGGAGAGAGUGCGGAGGGCUGCGCAGAGCCCCGGCUGGUCAGUGGGUUGCGGGCUGAGGCAGCCCAGGAGCCCUUCUCUGUGUCCUGCCCCACUUGGAGGCAUGGGUGCAGUGCCACGCUGCCCUCUGGGCCUGACUGUGUGCCCCUGGGCAUCCUGUUGGCUGAGUUUGAGAUCUAGAUCCUCGCACUCUGCCCCAACCCCUUCCCCGGUGCCCGUCCUCUGUUCUGAGUACUGACUUCUCUGGUCUGGGCACUUGCUGGCCUUAUGUGGGUGUAGCACUGUCCCCAGGCCCCUCUCUGACCAGCUCUGACCUUUGACUUGUCCCGCUUGCCAGGGGGCCUGGGGGCUGUGAGGUUGGGCCAGUAGCUCUGAGGGCAGCCUCAGGAGGCAGCUCCCACCUGCUGGGCCCUUCACCCGGCCUCCGUGCUCUCCCCUGCCCAGGGCCCUGCCGUGCUGUGCCGACUCCACCGGGCCCUGGGUCUGCAGGAGCACAGCACAGCGAGCUGCCCCCAGCCCAGCUUCCUCCUGGCCACCCGCUUCCUGUUUUCUCAGGAGAAGGCAGCAGCCAGGGUUCUGAAAAGCUCAUUAAAAUGCCUCCCCAGCGUCCGGACAUCCUGGGGUCUUGACAGCACUUGCCGCCUGAGCACAGACAAAGAGAGGACGUGGUUCCUGUCACCCCUGGAGCUCGCGUUGGGGGAAGGCCCCCAGAGCACACUUCCUCAUGCCUGCCCCCCAGGGAGGUCGCCGACCUGACCCGGGGGCAGACUGUCCCCGAUCCUGGAGCGGAGGUGAGGUCCUGUGGGGCAGGUGUGCAGGCAGCAAGGCCUCUGCUGUCCCUGGUCCCUGUUCUGUAAGUGGUGGCCACCUGGGCACUGGAGUACACAGGGUGCAGAACCCUCUGGUCCUGGACGUCCCUCCCAGCCAGGUGGACUGGCCCCCAUCCCAUGGCUCAGCCCCUCCCACCAGGCUGUGUCGGGGGGCCUGGCAGUGCCUGUGAGGUGACCCCUUUUGGGAGGCCCAGCACCAUGGGUCCAAAGCUUCACCCAAGGUGACCAUCUGAGUUGAGGAGCACACCCGCCCUGGGGGCCGCUGAGCCGGC
rnacentral:lncRNA from 1 species